UUGCUCGUGUGCACGCGUGCCGGACGGUGCUGUUUCUUUUUUUUUGUUUUGCUAGCCAAACUUUUCUUCUUUCGUUUUUCGGCAAAGGUGUUGAUUCCAGCCAACGCCAUCUAACGGUCAGAAAUGGCUUGUCAUCUGUUGCUGGGGUUCGGCGACACACAGAAAGCGAGAAUAACAGGCAGGCCAAACCAGAUGGACGGACAGACGGACAAACAUGCAUCGAGAGAGUGAGAAUCAGGACCCACCUGAAGACGUCGGCUGUAGUGAUGAUGACGAUUGCGGAUGACGUUAUGACUGAUGGGAUGGACGACGUUGCCACUGUCGUCGUCGUUGGACGUUUGGGCCGAAUGCAAUGACGGACUCGGUGAGCUCAGUUGCUGCAAAGAAAUGGACGGUUGGACUUGAUUGACUUCAGAGAGAGGAGACGCCUCGCCGGCAGAAGCGCUGACGCCGCAGACGAUGGAUGUAGAUGUUCCAGCCUCGUCGUUGCUGCUGAAACCCAGUUCCGUUCCGUACACAGAGUGGACAAAUUUCCACAAUUCCUGAUUGCCCAGUGGCUGCAAAUGUUUUUGGGUUUUCAGGUUUGUUUCGUAUUUUCCGAAAGAGGAGAAACAGAGCCAACGACGAUGACGACCACGAACGAACGAUGGCGUGUGAAAAAAACAUAAAAUAAA